rnacentral:rRNA from 1 species
UACGUAGGUGGCAAGCGUUGUCCGGAAUUAUUGGGCGUAAAGCGCGCGCAGGCGGUCCUUUAAGUCUGAUGUGAAAUCCCACGGCUCAACCGUGGAAGGUCAUUGGAAACUGGGGGACUUGAGUACAGAAGAGGAAAGCGGAAUUCCAAGUGUAGCGGUGAAAUGCGUAGAGAUUUGGAGGAACACCAGUGGCGAAGGCGGCUUUCUGGUCUGUAACUGACGCUGAGGCACGAAAGCGUGGGGAGCAAACAGG